UACGAAGGGGGCUAGCGUUGCUCGGAAUCACUGGGCGUAAAGCGCACGUAGGCGGAUUGUUAAGUCAGGGGUGAAAUCCUGGAGCUCAACUCCAGAACUGCCUUUGAUACUGGCGAUCUUGAGUCCGGGAGAGGUGAGUGGAACUGCGAGUGUAGAGGUGAAAUUCGUAGAGAUCCGGAGGAACACCGAAGGCGAAGGCAGUGUCCUGGCGCGUAACUGACGCUGAGGUGCGAAAGCCAGGGGAGCGAACGGG
rnacentral:rRNA from 1 species